UGGAUCAGUGGCGAACGGGUGAGUAACACGUGAGCAACUUGCCCUGAACUCUGGGAUAAGCGCUGGAAACGGCGUCUAAUACUGGAUAUGAGCUGCGGAGGCAUCUUCGUGGUUGGAAAGAUUUUUCGGUUUGGGAUGGGCUCGCGGCCUAUCAGCUUGUUGGUGAGGUAAUGGCUCACCAAGGCGUCGACGGGUAGCCGGCCUGAGAGGGUGACCGGCCACACUGGGACUGAGACACGGCCCAGACUCCUACGGGAGGCAGCAGUGGGGAAUAUUGCACAAUGGGCGGAAGCCUGAUGCAGCAACGCCGCGUGAGGGAUGACGGCCUUCGGGUUGUAAACCUCUUUUAGCAGGGAAGAAGCGAAAGUGACGGUACCUGCAGAAAAAGCGCCGGCUAACUACGUGCCAGCAGCCGCGGUAAUACGUAGGGCGCAAGCGUUAUCCGGAAUUAUUGGGCGUAAAGAGCUCGUAGGCGGUUUGUCGCGUCUGCUGUGAAAUCUGGGGGCUCAACCCCCAGCCUGCAGUGGGUACGGGCAGACUAGAGUGCGGUAGGGGAGAUUGGAAUUCCUGGUGUAGCGGUGGAAUGCGCAGAUAUCAGGAGGAACACCAAUGGCGAAGGCAGAUCUCUGGGCCGUAACUGACGCUGAGGAGCGAAAGGGUGGGGAGCAAACAGGCUUAGAUACCCUGGUAGUCCACCCCGUAAACGUUGGGAACUAGUUGUGGGGUCCAUUCCACGGAUUCCGUGACGCAGCUAACGCAUUAAGUUCCCCGCCUGGGGAGUACGGCCGCAAGGCUAAAACUCAAAGGAAUUGACGGGGACCCGCACAAGCGGCGGAGCAUGCGGAUUAAUUCGAUGCAACGCGAAGAACCUUACCAAGGCUUGACAUACACGAGAACGCUGCAGAAAUGUAGAACUCUUUGGACACUCGUGAACAGGUGGUGCAUGGUUGUCGUCAGCUCGUGUCGUGAGAUGUUGGGUUAAGUCCCGCAACGAGCGCAACCCUCGUUCUAUGUUGCCAGCACGUAAUGGUGGGAACUCAUGGGAUACUGCCGGGGUCAACUCGGAGGAAGGUGGGGAUGACGUCAAAUCAUCAUGCCCCUUAUGUCUUGGGCUUCACGCAUGCUACAAUGGCCGGUACAAAGGGCUGCAAUACCGCGAGGUGGAGCGAAUCCCAAAAAGCCGGUCCCAGUUCGGAUUGAGGUCUGCAACUCGACCUCAUGAAGUCGGAGUCGCUAGUAAUCGCAGAUCAGCAACGCUGCGGUGAAUACGUUCCCGGGUCUUGUACACACCGCCCGUCAAGUC
rnacentral:rRNA from 1 species